UGGUCCAGGUUCAGGUCUUGAACACAGUA
rnacentral:piRNA from 1 species